rnacentral:rRNA from 1 species
GGGGAUAAUUCCGGAUAACGCACAUAUGCUGGAAUGCUUUUUGCGUAAAAUGGAUUCGUCUGCCCAAGGAUGGGUCUGCGGCCUAUCAGGUAGUAGUGGGUGUAAUGUACCUACUAGCCUACGACGGGUACGGGUUGUGAGAGCAAGAGCCCGGAGAUGGAUUCUGAGACAUGAAUCCAGGCCCUACGGGGCGCAGCAGGCGCGAAAACUUUACAAUGCGGGAAACCGUGAUAAGGGGACACCGAGUGCCAGCAUCCUAUGCUGGCUGUCCAGGUGUGCAAAAUACACCUGUUAGCAAGGGCCGGGCAAGACCGGUGCCAGCCGCCGCGGUAACACCGGCGGCCCGAGUGGUGAUCGUGAUUAUUGGGUCUAAAGGGUCCGUAGCCGGUUUGGUCAGUCCUCCGGGAAAUCUGACAGCUCAACUGUUAGGCUUUCGGAGGAUACUGCCAGACUUGGAACCGGGAGAGGUAAGAGGUACUACAGGGGUAGGAGUGAAAUCUUGUAAUCCCUGUGGGACCACCUGUGGCGAAGGCGUCUUACCAGAACGGGUUCGACGGUGAGGGACGAAAGCUGGGGGCACGAACCGGAUUAGAUACCCGGGUAGUCCCAGCCGUAAACGAUGCUCGCUAGGUGUCAGGCAUGGCGCGACCGUGUCUGGUGCCGCAGGGAAGCCGUGAAGCGAGCCACCUGGGAAGUACGGCCGCAAGGCUGAAACUUAAA